GACCGUCCCCAUGAUUCAGUUCUGGAGGCUGGAGUCCAAGAUCCAGGCGCUGACAGAUCUGGUGUCAGGUGAGGGACCCUUCCUGGUUUGCAGUACUCAUCAACAAGUUUAGAGAAUUUCUCAGUGACAGACCUGCACUACAAGAUGGAAGUUUGGAGCUACACACAGGG